GGAAAUGUGAGUAAAAAAGGAAAGAGCAAAUGUAAGCAAGAAAAUACAUGUAGGAGAUGGACCUCAAACCUUUCAUUUCAAACAAGGAAAAAAUGCCAAUAAGCAUCUAACACAACUGGCUAAAAGUGUGCCAUCUACCAUGGCAGCAAAUACUGGGUUGCUGUACUCAAUUGAAACCUCCCAGAGAUGAGGUGAGCAAAGCACCAGUGUUCUCAGCUGUGAAACAAAGCCCCAGAGCAUUGCUUAGUUAGGAUUCAUUAAAGUGGUGCUAGCAGAGAUUGAUUCAGUGUGGCUGAAAACAUAUCUGGAGGCUGAAACUUCACAGAAUUUUUCUACACUAGUUUUAGAAAUCUUAAAAUUCUAAGUUUUGAGAAGCACAAUGUCCCCCUGUUCAAAGCACUCAAUCUCUUGUUUUCC